UUUAUUUUUUUCCUUUUCCUAUUGUACAUAAAGAGUGAGAUGCUAAAUUAAGAAUUUGAACAGCUAUCGGCUUAUUAUAGGAAAACAAAUCACAAGUUUAAAAAUCCUAAUACUCUAAUGUACACAUAGGCAAAUGCUAUAUGCAUCUUGAUUAGGAAAAUGUCUCCAUCCGUAGCCUCUCAUUCUAGUUUUAUUCCAUAAAUAUCU